GACGAACGCUGGCGGCGUGCUUAACACAUGCAAGUCGAACGGAAAGGCCCUGCUUUUGUGGGGUGCUCGAGUGGCGAACGGGUGAGUAACACGUGAGUAACCUGCCCUUGACUUUGGGAUAACUUCAGGAAACUGGGGCUAAUACCGGAUAGGAGCUCCUGCUGCAUGGUGGGGGUUGGAAAGUUUCGGCGGUUGGGGCUGGACUCGCGGCUUAUCAGCUUGUUGGUGGGGUAGUGGCUUACCAAGGCUUUGACGGGUAGCCGGCCUGGGAGGGUGACCGGCCACAUUGGGACUGCGAUACGGCCCAGACUCCUACGGGAGGCAGCAGUGGGGAGUAUUGCACAGUGGGCGGAAGCGUGAUGCGGCAACGCCGCGUGCGGGAUGACGGCCUUCGGGUUGUAAACCGCUUUCGCCUGUGACGAAGCGUGAGUGACGGUAAUGGGUAAAGAAGCACCGGCUAACUACGUG
rnacentral:rRNA from 1 species